AUUGAACGCUGGCGGCAUGCCUUACACAUGCAAGUCGAACGGCAGCACGGAGCUUGCUCUGGUGGCGAGUGGCGAACGGGUGAGUAAUAUAUCGGAACGUACCCAAGAGUGGGGGAUAACGUAGCGAAAGUUACGCUAAUACCGCAUACGAUCUAAGGAUGAAAGCAGGGGACCGCAAGGCCUUGUGCUCCUGGAGCGGCCGAUAUCUGAUUAGCUAGUUGGUGAGGUAAAGGCUCACCAAGGCAUCGAUCAGUAGCUGGUCUGAGAGGACGACCAGCCACACUGGAACUGAGACACGGUCCAGACUCCUACGGGAGGCAGCAGUGGGGGAUUUUGGACAAUGGGGGCAACCCUGAUCCAGCAAUGCCGCGUGAGUGAAGAAGGCCUUCGGGUUGUAAAGCUCUUUUGUCAGGGAAGAAACGGUGAAGGCUAAUAUCCUUUGCUAAUGACGGCACCUGAAGAAUAAGCACCGGCUAACUACGUGCCAGCCGCCGCAGUAAGAC
rnacentral:rRNA from 1 species